UUCUUCCUCUUCCCCAACUCGCCAAUCUCCUUCCUGCUGUUCCUCUUUCUCAUCUCCUAAGCCUCUUAAACAUUUCCUCAACCUCAUUCUCUCUAAAAAGCUCAUUCUUAGACUCUAGCUUGGAUGGCUACUCCCUUCUCUCCAACAACAUCGCUUCGGUCCAUUUUUCAAUCCAAGCCAAACCCUCCCAAAGCCUUCCUCUCUCUUCCAGGCUCGUCUCAUAGACUACACCACUGUGAUAGUGCCGAUGUGAGCUUCUAGACCAAUCCAUAGAGGGAAGAAAGUUGUAAUUGCAAAUUGCAGUGGUUUGUUCUUUUAGCAUUGGGAGGAAGACUGGAUGAGUAAAAACCACAGAGGAAGAAUAUGUUAUACCAAAAAUGGAGUCUCCUGACGGGCCCAGUGGUCAUUGCAAACUUACUUUUCAUUAAGAAUAAGAAGAAGAAGAAGCAAUCAGUGAAAGAGGAAAAUGUUGGAGUUGCCAUAGAAGAUCAAAGUGAUUGAAAGCCAUACAGUUUACAGCAGAGCUGUUGGUCUAGGAGGGAUGGCAAUCGGAGACCAAGAAAGAGGGAGGCUGAACUUCCAGUGGUUGAGUCUAUGCCAAAGGUGUUGCCAAAAGAUGAGGAUCCAAGUUUGGUUAGCAGAAAUAAAAGAAUGUUGGGGCAACUUUUAGUCUUAGAGCACGUGUUGCUGCCAAAACAGAAGAAAAGAAGCUAGAAUUAUUGUUUCUUCGAUGGAGUGAGCACCAUAAAAACUUUUCAAUUUUAUAAGAUGAAGAGAAGACACAUGGAGGAGCAAAUAAAGGAUGGAACACAGGAGACAAUCUAUGAUAGACAAGAUGAUGAGAUUAUUUAGAGACCUGCCAACGUCUCCACUUUUGCCUUCACCUUUAAUGGGACAGGAUUGAUGCUCUACCACUUCACACAAGAUAACUAUGGUGAUAGAUCAUGAUGUUGAUGAGCACAUUAGAGUGCUUGAGGAGGAGAUCGUGCACAUGAGGGCAAAUCAAGAGUGAAUUCUCUAGCAACACGUUGAGGAGGUAUCGCGCCUCAGGCAACAGAGUGAAGAACAGUUUGGCUCUAUGCAGGAAAAGAUGAGGCGUAUGAUGAGAUAGAUGGCAUCAUCAUCUGGCCCUUCAAGUGAUUCUGCUGAUCUCCAUUAUCAGAGCACAUCGAAUUUGUAGCUUGAUAUUGUUUAUAUACAUUUGCUAAUUAAACUUGUUACUUGUACGAUUAAUUUUAUACUUUUAUAUAAUAUAUUAUAUUUUUAUUUACUAA